rnacentral:rRNA from 1 species
UACGUAGGGUGCAAGCGUUGUCCGGAAUUAUUGGGCGUAAAGCGCGUGUAGGCGGGUUGCCAGGUCCGCUGUGAAAGCCCGAGGCUCAACCUCGGAGGGUCGGUGGAUACUGGCAAUCUUGAAGGUGCUAGGGGGAGAUGGAAUUACCGGUGUAGCGGUGAAAUGCGUAGAGAUCGGUAGGAACACCAGUGGCGAAGGCGGUCUCCUGGGGCAUUCUUGACGCUGAGACGCGAAAGCUGGGGGAGCGAACGGG